UGGCCCCUCGUCCAACGGCAGGACGCCGGACUUUGGAUCCGGAAAUCUUGGUUCGAAUCCAAGGGGGCCAAC
rnacentral:tRNA from 1 species